rfam:Felis catus isolate Cinnamon breed Abyssinian chromosome C1, whole genome shotgun sequence.
GCCUGGCUGGCUCAGCCGGUGGAGCAUGUGACUCUUGAUCUCAGGGUUGUGAGUUCGAGCCCCACCUUGGGUG